rnacentral:rRNA from 1 species
CUCAACGCGGGAAAUCUUACCGGGUCCGGACACACUGAGGAUUGACAGAUAUAUACCCCGUGAUUUUAUCGCGGGGUUGAAAGAUGCUAGUUCUUUCAUGAUUAUGUGAUAGGUGGUGCAUGGCCGUUCUUAGUUCGUGGAGUGAUCUGUCUGCUUAAUUGCGUAUCAAUAAUAGAGACCUAGUAUACGCGUAGACUCAUGCGGUAGUGACCCCCCUUCACAGGGCGCGUGUCGCACGUAUGUUAUACGCACAGGUCUCCGAUAGCAACGAACGUGACCGUACUCUAUUGUUGCAGCGACAAUACCUUUCAACGGGUAUUACCGCUGCUUAGCAAGAUUCGUCUUGCAUUAAACUAUAGAGACCGCUGUUUCUUCUUUAAACCAGAGGAAGGAUACGGCAAUAACAGGUCUGUGAUGCCCUCAGAUGUUCCGGGCUGCACACGUGCUACAAUGAUCAUUGCACUGUGCAUCUAACCCAAUGUGCGCGGACGCCGCCGUGCGUAUAUACUUUAUUGUGUAUGCGUAUCGUGCGUGCGACCGCGCCGAACCUGCUUCGAAAGUAAACAUUUCCAGCGGGUAAUCCAUUAGAAGUAAUGACUCGCAUAGACCAUGGCACACUAUAUGUACCCGCGGGUUCUACCCGGCUCGCCUUUGUGUGAGUGCA